rnacentral:rRNA from 1 species
GUAGGGAAUCUUGCGCAAUGGGCGAAAGCCUGACGCAGCCAUGCCGCGUGAAUGAUGAAGGUCUUAGGAUUGUAAAAUUCUUUCACCGGGGACGAUAAUGACGGUACCCGGAGAAGAAGCCCCGGCUAACUUCGUGCCAGCAGCCGCGGUAAUACGAAGGGGGCUAGCGUUGCUCGGAAUUACUGGGCGUAAAGGGCGCGUAGGCGGACAGCUUAGUCAGAGGUGAAAGCCCAGGGCUCAACCUUGGAAUUGCCUUUGAUACUGGCUGUCUUGAGUUUGGGAGAGGUGAGUGGAACUCCGAGUGUAGAGGUGAAAUUCGUAGAUAUUCGGAAGAACACCAGUGGCGAAGGCGACUCACUGGCCCAAUACUGACGCUGAGGCGCGAAAGCGUGGGGAGCAAACAGGAUUAGAAACCCCAGUAGUCC